AACGAACGCUGGCGGCAGGCUUAACACAUGCAAGUCGAACGGGCGUAGCAAUACGUCAGUGGCAGACGGGUGAGUAACACGUGGGAACCUUCCUCGUAGUACGGAACAACUCAGGGAAACUUGAGCUAAUACCGUAUACGUCCGAGAGGAGAAAGAUUUAUCGCUAUGAGACGGGCCCGCGUCCGAUUAGGUAGUUGGUGGGGUAACGGCCUACCAAGCCGACGAUCGGUAGCUGAUCUGAGAGGAUGAUCAGCCACACUGGGACUGAGACACGGCCCAGACCCCUACGGGAGGCAGCAGUGGGGAAUCUUGGACAAUGGGCGCAAGCCUGAUCCAGCCAUGCCGCGUGAGUGAAGAAGGCCUUAGGGUUGUAAAGCUCUUUUGCCAGGGACGAUAAUGACGGUACCUGGAGAAUAAGCCCCGGCAAACUUCGUGCCAGCCGCCGCAGUAAGAC
rnacentral:rRNA from 1 species